rnacentral:rRNA from 1 species
UACGUAGGGGGCGAGCGUUGUCCGGAUUUAUUGGGCGUAAAGAGCUCGUAGGCGGUUCGGCAAGUCACGUGUGAAAUCUCCACGCUUAACGUGGAGGCGCCACGUGAAACUGCCGUGACUCGAGUCCGGUAGGGGAGUGUGGAAUUCCCGGUGUAGCGGUGAAAUGCGCAGAUAUCGGGAGGAACACCAGUAGCGAAGGCGGCACUCUGGGCCGGUACUGACGCUGAGGAGCGAAAGCGUGGGGAGCGAACAGG